rnacentral:rRNA from 1 species
CCCUUAGAUGUUCUGGGCCGCACGCGCGCUACACUGACUGGUGCAACAAGUGUCUGACCUUGGCUCGUGAGGCCUGGGCAACCUUUGAACGCCAGUCGUGCUGAGGCUAGAUUAUUGCAAUUAUUAAUCUUCAACGAGGAAUGCCUAGUAAGCGUGAUUCAUCAAAUCGCGUUGAUUACGUCCCUGCCCUUUGUACACACCGCCCGUCGCUCCUACCGAUUGAAUGUGUUGGUGAGGAGCUCGGAUUGGCAGCGGUUGGUGGUUCGCCACCGGCCAUUGCUGAGAAGUCCUCCAAACCGCCCCAUUUAGAGGAAGGAGAAGUCGUAACA